rnacentral:rRNA from 1 species
AAACUGCGAAUGGCUCAUUAAAUCAGUUAUAGUUUAUUUGAUAUAACCUUACUACUUGGAUAUCCGUGGUAAUUCUAGAGCUAAUACAUGCAAUAAAAUCCUGACUUCUGGAAGGGAUGUAUUUAUUAGAUAAAAAACCAACCCGGCAACGGUUCUUUGGUGAUUCAUAGUAACUUUUCGAAUCGCAUGACUUUACGUCGGCGAUGGUUCAUUCAAAUUUCUGCCCUAUCAAGUUUCGAUGGUAGGAUAGAGGCCUACCAUGCUUUUUACGGGUAACGGCGAAUUAGGGUUCGAUUCCGGAGAGGGAGCCUGAGAAACGGCUACCACAUCUAAGGAAGGCAGCAGGCGCGCAAAUUACCCAAUCCUGAUUCAGGGAGGUAGUGACAAUAAAUAACAAUCCAGGGCUUCGGUCUUGGAAUUGGAAUGAGAACAAUUUAAAUCUCUUAACGAGGAACAAUUGGAGGGCAAGUCUGGUGCCAGCAGCCGCGGUAAUUCCAGCUCCAAUAGCGUAUAUUAAAGUUGUUGCAGUUAAAUAGCUCGUAGUUGAAUCUUGGGGUUGGUUUGGCGGUCGCGUCUUUGACGUGUACUGUCGGCCGAUCCUUUUACUUGUGGGGAACGUAUGUGCCCUUUACGGGGUGUGUACGGGAACCAUGGCUGUUACUUUGAAAAAAUUAGAGUGUUUAAAGCGGGCGUAAGCUUGUAUACAUUAGCAUGGAAUAAUAGAAUAGGACUUUGGUUUUAUUUUGUUGGUUUCUAGGGCCGAAGUAAUGAUUAAUAGGGAUAGUUGGGGGCAUUAGUAUUUAAUAGUCAGAGGUGAAAUUCUUGGAUUUAUGAAAGACUAACUUCUGCGAAAGCAUUUGCCAAGGAUGUUUUCAUUAAUCAAGAACGAAAGUCAGGGGAUCGAAGAUGAUCAGAUACCGUCGUAGUCCUGACCGUAAACUAUGCCGACUAGGGAUC